rnacentral:rRNA from 1 species
UACGAAGGGAGCUAGCGUUGUUCGGAAUCACUGGGCGUAAAGCGCACGUAGGCGGAUGUGUCAGUCAGGGGUGAAAUCCCGGAGCUCAACUUCGGAACUGCCUUUGAUACAGCACGUCUUGAGUCCGAUAGAGGUGGGUGGAACUCCGAGUGUAGAGGUGAAAUUCGUAGAUAUUAGGAAGAACACCGGUGGCGAAGGCGGCCCACUGGAUCGGUACUGACGCUGAGGUGCGAAAGCGUGGGGAGCAAACAGG